rnacentral:rRNA from 1 species
GUGUCAGCCGCCGCGGUAAUACGGGGGGGGCGAGCGUUGUUCGGAAUUACUGGGCGUAAAGGGCGCGUAGGCGGCUUCGGAAGUCCUGGGUGAAAGCCCCCGGCUCAACCGGGGAAGGUCCCAGGAAACCACGGAGCUGGAGUGCUGGAGAGGGAAGCGGAAUUCCCGGUGGAGCGGUGAAAUGCGUAGAUAUCGGGAGGAACACCGGAGGCGAAGGCGGCUUCCUGGACAGACACUGACGCUGAGGCGCGAAAGCCAGGGGAGCGAACGGGAUUAGAUACCCCGGUAGUCCUGGCCCUAAACGAUGAACACUGGGUGUGGGGGGUAGGCAAUUCCCUCCGUGCCGGAGAUAACUUGUUAAGUGUUCCGCCUGGGGAGUACGGCCGCAAGGCUGAAACUUAAAUGAAUUGACGGGG